rnacentral:rRNA from 1 species
GUACACGGUGGAUGCCCUGGCAGUCAGAGGCGAUGAAGGACGUGCUAAUCUGCGAUAAGCGCCGGUAAGGUGAUAUGAACCGUUAUAACCGGCGAUUUCCGAAUGGGGAAACCCAGUGUGAUUCGUCACACUAUCAUUAACUGAAUCCAUAGGUUAAUGAGGCGAACCGGGGGAACUGAAACAUCUAAGUACCCCGAGGAAAAGAAAUCAACCGAGAUUCCCCCAGUAGCGGCGAGCGAACGGGGAGGAGCCCAGAGCCUGAAUCAGCAUGUGUGUUAGUGGAAGCGUCUGGAAAGGCGCGCGAUACAGGGUGACAGCCCCGUACACAAAAGCGCAUGUGCUGUGAGCUCGAUGAGUAGGGCGGGACACGUGGUAUCCUGUCUGAAUAUGGGGGGACCAUCCUCCAAGGCUAAAUACUCCUGACUGACCGAUAGUGAACCAGUACCGUGAGGGAAAGGCGAAAAGAACCCCGGCGAGGGGAGUGAAAAAGAACCUGAAACCGUGUACGUACAAGCAGUGGGAGCACAGGUUUACCUGUGUGACUGC